UUCAUUCCAUAUAUGCCAGCCAGGUCGACGAUGCUAAUGCUGCCAAUGGAGGCCCCAGCAUGUGUCUUUUUGUUCAUCUUUAUUACUCCGUUGAGGAUGUCGUCCACAUAGCAGUUAUUUUCCAAUGUCUUAGCUAAAUUCCAUAGUAUGGUUUUUCAGAUCUACUCAACAUAACAUUAACAUCACCUACGAAUUUUUGACACUCCAAAUUCCUCCUGCAUACUUAUUCAGUUAUCCUUCAUACUUAAUUUUUUUUUAAAUAAAUAUAAGAUAAUAUUUUGGUCGGCGACCGGGAAGAUUUUUG
rnacentral:lncRNA from 1 species